AGUGAACGCUGGCGGCGUGCUUAACACAUGCAAGUCGAACGAGAACGGAAUAUAGCUUGCUAUAUUUGUCAGCUAAGUGGCGCACGGGUGAGUAAUGUAUAGAUAACCUGCCCUUAAGAAAGGAAUAACAGUUGGAAACGACUGCUAAUGCCCUAUAUGCCUUUAAUACAUAAGUAUGCAAGGGAAACGAUUUAGUGCUUAAGGAUUGGUCUGUAUGGUAUAAGCUUGUUGGUGAGGUAAUGGCUCACCAAGGCUAUGACGCCUAACUGGUUUGAGAGGAUGAUCAGUCACACUGGAACUGAGACACGGUCCAGACUCCUACGGGAGGCAGCAGUGGGGAAUAUUGCACAAUGGACGAAAGUCUGAUGCAGCAACGCCGCGUGGAGGAUGACACAUUUCGGUGCGUAAACUCCUUUUAUAUAGGAAGAUAAUGACGGUACUAUAUGAAUAAGCACCGGCUAACUCCGUGCCAGCAGCCGCGGUAA
rnacentral:rRNA from 1 species